GUAGCUGAACUUCAUAAUCAUACACAACUUCAUUAACUAGCCAUUAGGGAGGUGAAAACUGAAGAUUAUUACCAUGAAAAUCGUUACAGCUGUGGUUAUUCUAGGCUGCCUGCUUGUUGUAGAGGUGGAAGGCCAGGCUAGAUUUCUGAAGGGCAGGUGUUUUUGUGCUGACAAAGGUGUGAACAUGGUUCUUUCAAAACUGAUUGAGAAGAUUUAAAUUAUUUCACCAAGUCCCUCUUGUAAAACCCAGGAGAUUGUUGUUACUCUGAAAAAUAGAAGGCAGAAAUGCUUGAAUCCAGAAUCUAAAUUCAUACAGAAAUACAUCAUGAAGGCUGUUGAAAACAGGAGUCUGCAGAAGAAAUAGCCUGCAGAUGAAUGAGCUAUUGUAAAGUGAAGAACAUGUGAUAUCAGCACCCUACAAUCAGUAAACAACAUCCUUCAGAUAAAUCUUGAACUGAAAUUUUUCAUGUAAAUGUUUCCUCAAUGUUUGCUUAAUGUAAAUCUGUUUUUCUUCUAAUAAACAUAAUCAUUAAUCGCUGUUAUGCAUUUUAAAGUAGUAAUGCAAAACAUGCCUGAUUAUAUGUACAGUCGUGCAAAAUAAAGCUUUUGUUGACAUUUCAUAAUUUUUUUAAUUUUUUUUUAUUUAUGGUCAUUCUAUAGAGCAUAGAUUUAAAAAAAAAAAAAAACUAAAUGUUAUUAUAAGUAGCCUGUUUGGAAGAAAUAUUAUAUUACUAAAUCUGUGAAAUGUGAACCUUAAUUUUUAAACAUAGAUUUAGGUUUGCACAUUAAGUCUAAAAAGUAAUCUUGAAAUGCAAAAUGGUAAAGCUAUACAAAAAAAUUUUCGAGUAUGGCUCUGUGUGACGUUAGAUGGAGCGGAAUUUCCUUAUAUGGGUGCUAAGAGCACUUCUGCCGGAAGAGCGCGCGCUCCCGUAUAGCAGAGCACUGUGAGGCUGAGCACAGACAUUCAUUCACUCACUGAUCAGAGCGAGAGCGUUGCGAAAUGUCACAAAAGAAGUGUGUUUUUAUUUGCCAGGGCAAGACAACCCUGCACAGAUUACCAAAAAAAAACAGCAUUAAGGGACCAGUGGAUGGAGUUUAUUUUUACAGAGCAUCAACGCAGUUGUGCAAGUGUUUGUGUUUGUUCCCUGCAUUUCGAAGAUGCUUGUUUUACAAACAAGGCCCAGUUUGACGACGGAUUUGCGUAUCGUUUAUUUCUUAAGGAUGAUGCAAUCCCAACGAAGAAGGGUCACGAUCGUGUGUUGGAACCGCAGGCGGUGAGUAAAACUGCUUAAAAUAUCUCUGCCUCCUUGUUAGUGCGUCCCCUCCCAUGCCGGAGACCCGGGUUCGAGCCCCGCACGGAGCGAGUCGUUUCUGCUGCUGCUC